ACUGCCCUUUAUAAUCAGCCCCAGGAAAGGCAAGUCCUAAGCUUGCCCAACUGGGCAGAGGGAUCCUCCUCCCAUCAUCACUGGGCUGCCAUCGACCUUCUGCCUCUAGCACAAGGCCACAGGUGUGAAGACUUCAAGGGUAUGUGUUGCAUGAACCUGUCUGAUAAUCCAGAAUGGACGCAUGCCAGCAUCCAGCACUCAGAAGAUGGUGUAUCAAGACUCAAGAAAGAAGAUGGAUGGAAUUGGCUUGACAAGAUCUUUAGAGACUGGGGACUAACAGGAUGGCUUAGAAGCCUGGUUGAUAUGAUUGUAUAGAUCAUUGUAUUUUUACCAUAUGUAGCACAAUGUGUAUGAUCAGCAGCCUAAUAUCUGCAA